UUUUGAAUAUUAGCACAUUGACAUUCUUCCAGUCCUCUACAAUUUCCCCAGUACACCAAGAUUUAUUAAAAAUUAAUGUAGGAUGGACAGAGAUCUCAGCCAGCUUUUCUAGGAUUCUUGAGUGGAAGUUAUCUGGUCCUGAUAAUUUAGAAAUAUUUAUUUCUAAUGGAUGCUGUUUAACAUUCUUCUUAAUUACUAAUGGACUGUACUUCAACUAAUGGACUGUACUUCAUAUGGUAAGAAUGCAUCAUACUGCUUUUUUCCAAAAAUACUUUGAACUAUUCUGCCUUUUGCUUCUGGAGUUUGGGGGCAAAGUGCAAAAGGACCCAAACAAUGAAGGGGAAAUCUUGUACCUAGAUGUAAUACUCAAGGAUGAGACCAGAAAACAAAUGACCUAGCACUGAACCAAAGGGGCUGCCAUAUUGGCAAAAUUCUCCAGUAGAGGAAUGGAUGCUGUCAGUCACAUAUGAUCUGUUUUGGUAGGUGAAGCAAAGCCAGUCUCCUGAAAUGCAAUGGAAGUACCUUUGGUUUUUGAGAGAGGCUUUGGUAGCAAUAGGGAAGGAUGAGGAGAGAAAACUUGGGAUUAGAAAAAGGAUGAUUAAUGAGCAUUUCAAAGAAAAGUAUCAGUGCUUCUGAAAUGGGUAAAAGAUAGAAGGGAAACCACCGAAGAGGCUCCUUUGGGAAGUACACGAGAAAAGAAAAUUUUCCUCAAGCUUUUGCUAAGUGAGAAAUAAUUGGGAUGGCUCAGGGGGUGGUGAAAGAAUUUAAGUGCCAAAUUGAGACCUGAUGUAAGCAGCUGAUAUCCCUGGGAGGUAGGAUAGCUUCUGAUUCUAGGUAUGGAGGCAUAAAAAGGUGUAAUUGUAGUUUAUUUCUCAAAGGCUAUGCUCUGAUAUCAAGGGCAGAGAUCAUUGAUUAUAACUGUGAUAGAGCAUAGCCCUAGGCCACGAGGUGAAUAAUAAUGUAGCUAAGGCUUGUGGUAUGUCUGGAAUCUAGAGAUAAUGCUGAACUGGUCAGACAGCUGCCUUCCCAGUGCCUGAAGAAACUAAGAGCUUUGCAUGCAGUCCCCUUUAGAUUAUCUGUCUGUGUCACUGCUGUCAUCCUUGGAUUGUUCUCAGCAGUUUAUAUAAACAAACUUCUCAUCAGAGCCCUAUAAGACAUAGGAAGAAUCCUUGGAUAUUUAGAAGGAAAAGAAAAUCUACAGACACUUUUUUUUUGCUCUGAUUUUAAUCUCUUGCUGUGGCUCAAAUUUUAUAUGUCAUCAUUGUUGCCCUGUAUCUCCCCAUCGACAUAAUGGCUGGCAAAGAGCACUGAAGCUGUUGGCCUUACCUUUUAGAUACAAGAUUAUUCCUUGCUACAUCUCUGUCCCUUCUUAUUAUGCAUCUGGAUUUGCGAUUGGCCUUGAUACUGAAUCGUUCCACUCUGUGGCCUAAGGAGGCAGCAGGGAUAAGUCCUAGGGUAAGAACAUUUCAUAAGAUCUCUUUCCGCCUGAGGAUGAGACAGAUAGGGAGGGUAGCUGUCAAGUAUUCAGUUAUAACAGAGAGACUGUGGAAUGGGGCGGAGGCAGGAGAAAGGAGGUGAACCUAGCCUGAGGCUCUAAGAUGAGCUGAAGGCCUGAAGAAGUUUAAUCAAAACUGUAUUAUUCAUGGGGACUGGUAGAUGUUGAAUUUGAAAAGAGAGCUAGUCUGGAAGGGGAUUGUCUCUGGUCCCUGUGAUGGAUCUUUUCUCUCCCAGAACCUCCGCCCUGUUUCAGCUGAUACAUUACAGAACCCGGAGAGGUUUUACAACAGGACUGAGCUAUAAGACAAUAGACAUGAUGGAACCACGGGGUUUGAGUGACAUUACAAUAGGCACAAGGGCUGUGGAAGCCUGCAGAGUGUGCCUGACCUCUUUGAUGGUUCCCUUGGUGGUUUGAUGUGCUUAAAGGCUCACUUAAGAUUUGAAUAAAAAAUACGGUUUUUUUAUUUUAAUAUUCCCUGCAGUUCCUCUGUGUGCUGACAGCACCUCAGUACCGUGGCAGCAGAAGGAACUCCUCUGACAAUGAAAUAGCUGCAAGGGAGAGGCUGCUUUGUAUGCAGGACCAUGGGCUUUCCAGGAACUAAGAUCGGUGAGUGGUGAUUAGGAAAAUUCAUUCAAGUUGCAACACCUCCAUAAUGAUACUACCUCCUGAAGAGGCUUGUCUAUACUACUUCACAUUGAAUUCUCCAGAGAAAGGAAGGACUGUGGAUAAAUAGCCUUAUCCAGCAAAUGGACAGGACCUCCUGUACCCAAAUCCCCAGUGGCUAUAGACAUAGGACACUAGAUGGAGAGGGCUCUGAGUUGCUACAGAGAAUUCUUUCCCAGGCAAUCUGACUUGCUAGGGAAUUCACAAUAUAGGCUGGGAACUGUGUAGCCUGGAAAAAACUGGUCAGGAGAGAGAAGGAUGCUGGUUUCUGCCCAAGAAAGGUGAAGGCUGAAAAGAAAAGCUGAAAUCCUGAAGGUGGGUGCCCUUGCUGUAGUGGGACUUUCUUGAGCUGUGAAACUCAUCACUUAGGAAACAUCUGUCUGCACUCUUGUAAAAUCCUUUUGAUCUUUUCUGUGUUCAUACCGGGAAUGAGGGGCUGGAACAGAUGCCAAUACCAUUUACUGCAUGUCCUAAGUCUGGGGUGAGGUCAGUGGUCUCAACCAUCCUGCCUUAGAAGAAAUGUUAAAAGCUUUCCAAUGUGUCUGCUAGGUCCAGCUGAAAAUGUGGGGCCAUAAUCUCAGGCUAGAAUAGAAUGCAGACUGUGAAAAAAAAUGGAGUUGGAUUCCCAAGCACUGAACUUA